rnacentral:lncRNA from 1 species
UAAACUCCGUUGAGCCUUAGCCAUUUUAUUCAUCAUAAACCCCAUGUUAACCACUAAUCAUUCAUUUCUUCCAUCAAUCGGCAUGAUUGUUAUGAGUUGCAAGAUGUGCAUAAAGCUAAGUUUGGGGUGCUAAUCUUGAAAGAUAGGGCAAGUGCAUAAUAAGUGAUCAUACAAAAAGAAAAGAUUUGUGUAUGUCCAACAAAAAAAAAAGAAACAAAAGAGAAAAAUGCACUUGCAGAGACUUAAGACUCUAACACCUAUAAAAUGCUCGAAAAAAUUGAGUAGAAAAAGAGUCAAAAGAGUGAAAUUAACCCCCAGAGUAUACGUGAUGCACG